UAAUACGUAGGAGGCGAGCGUUAUCCGGAUUUACUGGGCGUAAAGAGGGCGUAGGCGGUCCUUUAAGUCGGAUGUGAAAUCUCCUGGCUCAACUGGGAGGGGUCAUUCGAUACUGAGGGACUAGAGUGCAGCAGGGGGAGACGGAAUUCCCGGUGUAGUGGUGAUAUGCGUAGAUACCGGGAGGAACACCAGAGGCGAAGGCGGUCUCCCAGGCUGUUUCUGACGCUGAGGCCCGAAAGCGUGGGGAGCGAACAGGAUUAGAUACCCUGGUAGUCCACGCUGUAAACGAUGGACACUAGGUAUAGGGAGUAUCGACCCUCUCUGUGCCGAAGCUAACGCCUUAAGUGUCCCGCCUGGGGACUACGGCCGCAAGGCUA
rnacentral:rRNA from 2 species